CCGGUACCCCCUGUAUAUAGCCUCCACAUUGACUCUGUACCGGUACCCCAUGUAUAUAGCCUCCACAUUGACUCUGUACCGUAACACCCUGUAUACAGCCUCCACAUUGACUAUGUACCGGUACCCCCUGUAUAUAGCCUCCACAUUGACUCUGUACCGUAACACCCUGUAUAUAGCCUCCACAUUGACUCUGUACCGGUACCCCCUGUAUAUAGCCUCCACAUUGACUCUGUACCGGUACCCCCUGUAUAUAGCCUCCACAUUGACUCUGUACCGGUACCCCAUGUAUAUAGCCUCCACAUUGACUCUGUACCGUAACACCCUGUAUACAGCCUCCACAUUG
ensembl:lncRNA